UACGUAGGGGCCUAGCGUUGUCCGGAUUUAUUGGGCGUAAAGAGCUCGUAGGCGGUUUGGUGAGUCGGGUGUGAAAUCUCCACGCUCAACGUGGAGGGGCCACCCGAUACUGCCAUGACUAGAGUCCGGUAGGGGAGUGUGGAAUUCCCGGUGUAGCGGUGAAAUGCGUAGAUAUUCGAAGGAACACCGAUGGCGUAGGCAGCCAACUGGACAGUUACUGACGCUCAUGCACGAAAGCGUGGGGAUCAAACAGG
rnacentral:rRNA from 1 species